UCCAAUAACUGAGCCCUAUUAACAACAUUUGAAUACAAACACAGUUUAUGAGAGAUAAGAUAUUGGCAUAUCUCGGGUUUCAAACCUCUUAGAAACAUCCGUGUCAUUCUCUCCUCAUUAUCAACUAAAUGGGACGCAAACCGGGACAACUCGGCAAACUUGGCUUCGUACUGCGACACGGUCAUGUUGUUUUGUUCUAGUUUAAUGAACUCUACCUCUUUCAUAUGAUGAAUACUUUCGGGAAAGUACUUGUCGUUGAACAGUUCUUGGAACUUCUCCCAAGUCAUCUUCAGUGCGGCAGGUUGAGUACGUUUUACAGAUUCCCACCAAUGAUCUGCUUCUUCACGCAACAUAAAGGUGGCGAAUAGAACUUUUUGCUCCUCUGAGCAUUCCAAG
rnacentral:lncRNA from 1 species